rnacentral:lncRNA from 1 species
GCAAACUUCCAGGUUCCGCGGCCCGAGAGGAAGGUUUUCUGGAGCGGGGAACGCGGAGAGGCAAGGCUAGGGCGGGGCAGCUGGAGGAGGCUGAGGGGCUGGUGGUACAGAACAGGGUGGGGCCUGGACGACUCGGGACGCGGUUAGGGGCAGAGGUGCAGGGAGCGCGGAAGGACAGCCGAGGGGGCGCACGGUGCGGGGUCGCGGAGGCGCGGAGGCGCUGGGGGCCGCGGUGGCGAUCUCGGAAAUUUCCCCUCCAGUAAACAUGGGAUACGAACGGAGCAGCCCCCGAGCCACCGCCCCAUGCAGGGAGAGGAGGUGGGACAGAGGCCACCAGGCCCGGAACGGGGCGCCCUGCCUUGCAGUGGAGCCAACAGUCCGCCCUCCGGAGAAAUAAAGAGUGGAGCAAAG